GGGGGUACAGCUCAGUGGUAGAGUGUGUGCUUGGCAUGCGUGAAGUCCUGGGUUCAAUCCCCAGUGCCUCCA
rnacentral:tRNA from 1 species